rnacentral:rRNA from 1 species
UGGGGAAUCUUGGACAAUGGGGGCAACCCUGAUCCAGCCAUGCCGCGUGGGUGAAGACGGCCUUAGGGUUGUAAAGCCCUUUCAGUCGUGACGAUGAUGACGGUAGCGACAGAAGAAGCCCCGCCUAACUCCGUGCCUGCAGCCGCGGUAAUACGGAGGGGGCAAGCGUGGUUCGGACUUACUGGGCGUAAAGGGCGCGUAGGCGGACGGUCAAGUCAGAGGUGAAAGGCCCGGGCUCAUCCUGGGACGUGCCUUUGAAACUGAUUGUCUUGAGUGCGGAAGAGGGUGACGGAAUUCCCAGUGUAGAGGUGAAAUGCGUAGAUAUUGGGAAGAACACCGGUGGCGAAGGCGGUCACCUGGUCCGCAACUGACGCUGAGGCGCGAAAGCGUGGGGAGCAAACAGGAUUAGAUACCCCCGUAGUCC